CACGUAGGGGGCGAGCGUUGUCCGGAUUUAUUGGGCGUAAAGAGCUCGUAGGCGGCUCGGUAAGUCAGGUGUGAAAACUCUAGGCUCAACCUAGAGACGCCACCUGAUACUGCUGUGGCUAGAGUCCGGUAGGGGAGUGUGGAAUUCCUGGUGGAGCGGUGAAAUGCGCAGAUAUCAGGAGGAACACCCGUAGCGAAGGCGGCACUCUGGGCCGAUACUGACACUGAGGAGCGAAAGCGUGGGGAGCGAACAGG
rnacentral:rRNA from 1 species